rnacentral:rRNA from 1 species
UACGUGGGGGGCAAGCGUUGUUCGGAAUUACUGGGCGUAAAGGGCUCGUAGGCGGCCAACUAAGUCAGACGUGAAAUCCCUCGGCUUAACCGGGGAACUGCGUCUGAUACUGGAUGGCUUGAGGUUGGGAGAGGGAUGCGGAAUUCCAGGUGUAGCGGUGAAAUGCGUAGAUAUCUGGAGGAACACCGGUGGCGAAGGCGGCAUCCUGGACCAAUUCUGACGCUGAGGAGCGAAAGCCAGGGGAGCAAACGGG